GGGAAAGAAAAAGACUUACCUGGGGGUAGGACGUUCUGGACGAAGACCUUGCAGGUGCUCGUUGCUGGGAUUCUGGGAAGAAGAUGGGAUUCCAACCUCUGUUCUUUCGGCUUCCUUUAUGCUCUUUCGUCUUUUCUUUUUUUGUUCUUUUUUAUUCUGUUUUUUCAGGUUAAUUCUCUCUCGUCUCUUCUGGCUUUUUUUUCUCUGUUUUUCCUCUUUCUGGUUUUAUGUCCUCUAGGUUAGACCAGUGGUUUGCUGUGAGGGAGAGCAAAGUUAUCUUUCUGGUUUCUUGUGUUCUCCUUUUUUAAUCUCUGUGUUUCCUCUCUGGCUCCCUCUCCUGUUCUCUCUGUCUUUUCUCCUGCUCUGUUUUUUUUGUUUUUGUAUUUGGAUCCUCGUCUCUCUCUCUCUCUCUCUCUCUUUCUUGUUGGUUUUUGCACCUUAUCUUCCCAGGAUAAUGAUAAGGUCUGAGACUUUGUGUUUUGGUUGGAUUGGGACACCAACAGUCCUGCCAGUGCUGGACCGUUGGUGGCGGUUUCCUCGGCCUGCUGGCACCUUGUGGCGGUGGAGGAAAGUCGGCUGGAAAGGGGUCAGAUGGUAGACCAUUCGGUAUACGUCCAAGUCUGGUCUGAGGGCAGUGAGACCUGACCAGAGGUUAUGGUUUCUGCAGGCGGGCUUUCCUCUCUUUCAGACGAAGAAGAAGAUGCACAGUGUUUUUGAACGGCGUGGUUUUGGGAUGGGAAUGGCCAUCUUUCAGUUUGGUCACUGAAGACAAUCAAAACCUAUAUUAUCAUAGAGAGGGAGAGGGGGAGAUCAAAGACGAGGAUUUAUCUAUGACAAAAAAAAUUUUCUCCAUGAAUUUAAGGUGCGUGUUCUAUAUCGUUACCUUUUAAGUGAGUUUUUGUAUGCAUAUAAGGGUUAUUAAGAAAAGUUUAGAAAUUAGGAUUUUUAUAAUAUUUUAUUUUUAAUCAUUUUUAAGGAGUGAGUGCUAUACUAAUAGAGUCUUGGAUUGAUAGAAAACCAUUGAAUGUGAUUUUAUAUGUUUUUGGUAAAUUAUUUUUAAUUAAUAAUGAAAUUAAAAAAUUGAAAAAAGAUGAUGAGGUAAUAAUUUUAGGUCACCGAGAUUUGGCCUUCUAAUAGUGUUAUGAUGAGAAUGACACCUAGUUAUAGUAUGCAAUGAGUUCUUUGUGUAUGAUUUAUAAAUAUGCUUUUAAUGAAUUGAUUGUAACUCAUAUGUAUCAGUAAGUUUUGACAUGUUUGAUUCAGUUAGAGAAAUGAAUUGUUAUUUACUGAGCAUGUGACACACUCUCUCUAUUUAUUUAUUUAUUUAUUUCCAGAUGAUUUGGAAGAGAUUUAGAAUGUCAAGUGGUUGCUUUGGAAGCUAGUUGAUUUUAGAUUAAAAUAUUUCAAUAAUUGAUAAAUUUAUCAUCUUAGACUUGUAAUAUAUUUAAUCUUAUUUAUUUUUGAAGUUAGAUUAUUUGAUGUGAGAUUAUUUAUAUUGAGUUUAGUUAAUUUAUAAUUCAAUGUAUUUUUUUUCUUUUAA